UUUGAUUGCUACUGUCCAGCUAGUAGCAAUGGGUUGACUCCUCUCUGUGUCUUCUAUGACACCGUGACGGAGCACCCAGGAGGGUGCAGUUCUCAGAAGAGAGAAGGGUAGUUUGGGCAGAGAUGUCAAUAGCUUCUACCACAUUAUCUGAGCUGCAGAGAGAACUGCAGUUUUGCAAAACCGAGACUUGCCAGGGAACAUACAUCUAAUAUUUGGUGAAUCCAAGCCAGGAAAUGGUAAGUAAAACUUUAGUUCCUUGGCCACUGGCAUUCUGGAGCUCUCAGUACCAGUGCUGGAGAGCUCAUUGCUAAAUCUCCAUGAAUUUCUUAAGCAGGUCAACUGGUAACUGGAAGUUAGCCAAAGUUAGAAUAUUCACACUGUGAAAAUUGGUGACCAUUAUAAACCAGGACGUCUUUCCCCUUCCUUUUCAAAUACUUGGUUGACACGCAUGCCCUUGCCCAGCCCAUGAGGGGAGACUUGACAAGCAAUGCAGAUACCAUAUUUCAGAUGAGUGGCCAGUUCCCCACUGUCUGAUAGCAACCACCCCAACUCUACCAUUACCCGAUUGUCCUAUAGCCAGCUAGACCACUGGCUAGACCUGGGUGACACUUUUUCUGUCCCACACAGUUCCACAAAAUAAGCUCAUUGUUCUUGUGCUGCUCUUGUUACCAAAUUCAAAGCCAAUUCCGUCCUAAUUGUUGAACAACAAAUCUUCAGUAUUAAAAGAGUAAGACAAGCCUGAGCAAGUGCAUGCAAGCCAAAAGUAUCCUCAAGAGACUUGCUUAAAAGAAUUAAUAAAGCAGCCAAUAAAAAAAAAAAAAAUUCCUCCUGGGGAUUUGACUUGCUGGGUAGUUAUUUAAAGAUAAGUCAUGUACAAAUUUCUCAAGACAUCUUUCUCCAGCCUCCAGUGAUGUGGCCUGGCUGGUCACUACCUCAUUCCCAUCAUCAGGCAGUGGUCGGGAGAGAAAGGAACCUCCGUGUCUGUAAGUGAUUCCCCAGGGCUCUGGCCUCCGCCACCCAUCACGAAGCCCACUGACGCACCUCCACUGUCAUAUGGGCAGUGCUCAGCCCAGCCUCUUGUCCCACAUUUCUUAAGAGGCACAAACUGCAUGUACCUCACUGACCACAAAACAGCGCUGGGACGGGGUAGGGGCUCUGUAUUUCCAUCCGGUAAUGCUUCCUGGGUCACAGAGCCUAAAACAACACAAAGCAAUACUCCAGCCUUUCCAGAGGAAUGUGAGGGCAGUGAUCACCGCCACCACUGCUGCUGCUGUGACUCCGGAAUGAUUUCCCAGAACAUGACGUCAUUAUGAGAGUUCUGAGGCGUCUGUUCCCAUGGCAGACCUGGCACUAUUACUGCGCUUUCUUGGGGUACUCAGGAAACAUGAGGAUUACAAGAUAAAUGAAGUCCUGGCACUCACAUCUCUAGAGAUAAAAGAAUGCUUGAUCUUCUGAGGUGAGUCAGAGGUCAACCAAAUGUUUGACCCUCUUGAGUUCAAGCGAUGGCUGAUGAAUGACUGUUUGGAGAGAGCUUAUAUACAUCCCUUCUCUGGUCUGAAUGACUGAAUAAAUGAG